rnacentral:misc_RNA from 1 species
GUAUUAAUAUUUAUUAAGCUUGUUUGAAAAACAAGCUUAUGACAUUCUUUUUUAAAGCAAGGGGUGUAUUAAAAACAUAGACUGAUUUCUUGCGAAGUCAACCUACAAAGGUGCACAGGUGUUAGAAAUUUGGAACGAGGUGUGCACAUAUCUAAAAGAUCAGCGACAACCCCUUCAAAAAUUCAAUAAUGAUCCUUCCGCAGGUUCACCUACGGAAA